rnacentral:rRNA from 1 species
UACGAAGGGGGCUAGCGUUGCUCGGAAUUACUGGGCGUAAAGGGCGCGUAGGCGGCACUGCAAGUCAGGCGUGAAAUCCUGGGCUCAACCUGGGGACUGCGCUUGAGACUGUGGAGCUAGAGGAUGGAAGAGGGUCGUGGAAUUCCCAGUGUAGAGGUGAAAUUCGUAGAUAUUGGGAAGAACACCGGUGGCGAAGGCGGCUCUCUGGACCGAUACUGACGCUGAGGCGCGAAAAGCGUGGGGAGCAAACAGG